rnacentral:rRNA from 1 species
UACGUAGGGUGCAAGCGUUAUCCGGAAUUAUUGGGCGUAAAGAGCUCGUAGGCGGUUUGUCGCGCGUCUCUGUGAAAACUGGAGGCUCAACCUCCAGCCUGCAGUGGGUACGGGCAGACUAGAGUGCGGUAGGGGAGAUUGGAAUUCCUGGUGUAGCGGUGGAAUGCGCAGAUAUCAGGAGGAACACCGAUGGCGAAGGCAGAUCUCUGGGCCGUAACUGACGCUGAGGAGCGAAAGCAUGGGGAGCGAACAGG